CAGUCGCCGCGGUAAUACAGAGGGUGCGAGCGUUAAUCGGAUUUACUGGGCGUAAAGCGUGCGUAGGCGGCUUUUUAAGUCGGAUGUGAAAUCCCUGAGCUUAACUUAGGAAUUGCAUUCGAUACUGGGAAGCUAGAGUAUGGGAGAGGAUGGUAGAAUUCCAGGUGUAGCGGUGAAAUGCGUAGAGAUCUGGAGGAAUACCGAUGGCGAAGGCAGCCAUCUGGCCUAAUACUGACGCUGAGGUACGAAAGCGUGGGGAGCAAACAGGAUUAGAUCCCGGGUAGUCCCUGUCUCUUAUACA
rnacentral:rRNA from 1 species